GGCACGGUGGUUUACUUGCUUAGCACGUUGGCCUCGCACCUCCAGUGUUGGGGGUUCGACUCCCACCUCUGUCC